AGGACGAACGCUGGCGGCGUGCUUAACACAUGCAAGUCGAACGGUGAACCCCGCUUGCGGGGGGAUCAGUGGCGAACGGGUGAGUAACACGUGGGCAACCUGCCCUCAGCUCUGGGAUAACUCCAAGAAAUUGGGGCUAAUACUGGAUACGACCGCUGACCGCAUGGUCUGGUGGUGGAAAGAUUUAUCGGCUGGGGAUGGGCCCGCGGCCUAUCAGCUUGUUGGUGGGGUAGUGGCCUACCGAAAGGCGACGACGGGU
rnacentral:rRNA from 1 species